rnacentral:rRNA from 1 species
ACGAACGCUGGCGGCAUGCCUAACACAUGCAAGUCGAACGAACUCUUCGGAGUUAGUGGCGCACGGGUGCGUAACGCGUGGGAAUCUGCCCUUGGGUACGGAAUAACUCAGAGAAAUUUGUGCUAAUACCGUAUAAUGACUUCGGUCCAAAGAUUUAUCGCCCAAGGAUGAGCCCGCGUAAGAUUAGCUAGUUGGUGGGGUAAAGGCCUACCAAGGCUACGAUCUUUAGCUGGUCUGAGAGGAUGAUCAGCCACACUGGGACUGAGACACGGCCGAGACUCCUACGGGAGGCAGGAGUGGGGAAUAUUGGACAAUGGGCGAAAGCCUGAUCCAGCAAUGCCGCGUGAGUGAUGAAGGCCUUAGGGUUGUAAAGCCCUUUCAGUGGGAAAGAUUGUGACGGUACCCACAGAAGAAGCUCCGGCUAACUCCGU